UGGUGUGUAAGUGUAGUGAUAUAUUGAGCUAACAGAUACUAAUUGCCCGAGAGGCUUAACUAUACAACGCUCAAG
rnacentral:rRNA from 1 species